rnacentral:rRNA from 1 species
ACGGAAGGCAGCAGUGGGGGGUAUUGCACAAUGGGCGAAAGCCUGAUGUAGCAACGCCGCGUGAGUGAAGAAGUAUUUCGGUAUGUAAAGCUCUAUCGAUGGGGAAUAAGAUGAAGGUACCCAAGUAAGAAGCCCCGGCUAACUACGUGCCAGCAGCCGCGGUAAUACGUAGGGGGCAAGCGUUAUCCGGAUUUACUGGGUGUAAAGGGAGCGUAGACGGAAUAGCAAGCUUGAAGUGAAAUACCUGGGCUUAACCCAGGAAUUGCUUUGAAAACUGUUAAUCUAGAGUACUGGAGGGGUAUGGGGAAUUCCUAGUGUAGUAGUGAAAUGCGUAGAUAUUAGGAGGAACACCGGAGGCGAAGGCGCCAUACUGGACAGAUACUGACGUUGAGGCUCGAAAGCGUGGGGAGCAAACAGGAUUAGAUACCCUGGUA